AGAGUUUGAUCCUGGCUCAGAUUGAACGCUGGCGGCAUGCCUUACACAUGCAAGUCGAACGGCAGCACGAGAGCUUGCUCUUGGUGGCGAGUGGCGAACGGGUGAGUAAUAUAUCGGAACGUACCCUAGAGUGGGGGAUAACGUAGCGAAAGUUACGCUAAUACCGCAUACGAUCUACGGAUGAAAGUGGGGGAUCGCAAGACCUCAUGCUCAUGGAGCGGCCGAUAUCUGACUAGCUAGUUGGUGGGGUAAAAGCUCACCAAGGCGACGAUCAGUAGCUGGUCUGAGAGGACGACCAGCCACACUGGAACUGAGACACGGUCCAGACUCCUACGGGAGGCAGCAGUGGGGAAUUUUGGACAAUGGGCGCAAGCCUGAUCCAGCAAUGCCGCGUGAGUGAAGAAGGCCUUCGGGUUGUAAAGCUCCUUUGUCAGGGAAGAAACGGUGGACUCUAAUACAGAUCACUAAUGACGGUACCUGAAGAAUAAGCACCGGCUAACUACGUGCCAGCAGCCGCGGUAAUACGUAGGGUGCAAGCGUUAAUCGGAAUUACUGGGCGUAAAGCGUGCGCAGGCGGUUGUGCAAGACAGAUGUGAAAUCCCCGGGCUCAACCUGGGAAUUGCAUUUGUGACUGCACGGCUAGAGUGUGUCAGAGGGGGGUAGAAUUCCACGUGUAGCAGUGAAAUGCGUAGAGAUGUGGAGGAAUACCGAUGGCGAAGGCAGCCCCCUGGGAUAACACUGACGCUCAUACACGAAAGCGUGGGGAGCAAACAGGAUUAGAUACCCUGGUAGUCCACGCCCUAAACGAUGUCUACUAGUUGUCGGGUCUUAAUUGACUUGGUAACGCAGCUAACGCGUGAAGUAGACCGCCUGGGGAGUACGGUCGCAAGAUUAAAACUCAAAGGAAUUGACGGGGACCCGCACAAGCGGUGGAUGAUGUGGAUUAAUUCGAUGCAACGCGAAAAACCUUACCUACCCUUGACAUGUCUGGAAUCCUUGAGAGAUCAGGGAGUGCUCGAAAGAGAAUCAGAACACAGGUGCUGCAUGGCUGUCGUCAGCUCGUGUCGUGAGAUGUUGGGUUAAGUCCCGCAACGAGCGCAACCCUUGUCAUUAGUUGCUACGAAAGGGCACUCUAAUGAGACUGCCGGUGACAAACCGGAGGAAGGUGGGGAUGACGUCAAGUCCUCAUGGCCCUUAUGGGUAGGGCUUCACACGUCAUACAAUGGUACAUACAGAGGGCCGCCAACCCGCGAGGGGGAGCUAAUCCCAGAAAGUGUAUCGUAGUCCGGAUUGUAGUCUGCAACUCGACUACAUGAGGUUGGAAUCGCUAGUAAUCGCGGAUCAGCAUGUCGCGGUGAAUACGUUCCCGGGUCUUGUACACACCGCCCGUCACACCAUGGGAGCGGGUUUCACCAGAAGUGGGUAGCCUAACCGCAAGGAGGGCGCUCACCACGGUGGGAUUCGUGACUGGGGUGAAGUCGUAACAAGGUA
rnacentral:rRNA from 1 species